rnacentral:rRNA from 1 species
UACGUAGGGCGCGAGCGUUGUCCGGAAUUAUUGGGCGUAAAGAGCUCGUAGGCGGCCUGUUGCGUCCGCUGUGAAAUCCCAGGGCUCAACCCUGGGCGUGCAGUGGAUACGGGCAGGCUAGAGUGCGGGAGAGGAGAGUGGAAUUCCUGGUGUAGCGGUGAAAUGCGCAGAUAUCAGGAAGAACACCCGUGGCGAAGGCGGCUCUCUGGAAUGCAACUGACGCUGAGACGCGAAAGCGUGGGGAGCAAACAGG